UACGAGAGGUGCAAGUUUAUAGCGUGAGGAGUAGGCAUGCAAGUGUAGACGUUUAUAUAGUUAUGUGAGAUUUUUUUUAUAUUGAAGUUUUAGUUUUUAUUCCUAGUACAGCAGUUUAAAAUGCGUCAAGUUUUAGGAGGACAGCCAUUGGCGAAAGCAACUUUACAUACAUUCAACUUAAGUUCAAACUUGUAAGUCCAGGGAUCAAAUAGG
rnacentral:rRNA from 1 species